rnacentral:ncRNA from 14 species
GCCCAAGUGGCGGAAUGGUAGACGCAUGGGAUUUAAGAUCCCACGCUAGCAAUAGCGUGCCGGUUCAAGUCCGGCUUUGGGCA